UGUAGCUCAGAGGUAGAGCACCAGACGUUGGAUCUGGCAGUCAUGGGUUCGACUCCCAUCACUCCUUCCCCACCA
rnacentral:tRNA from 1 species